AUGGAGUAUGUGCAAAGGAGACUAAAAUCUCUGCACCUAUCCGAGGCAGAGAAGAAGGGAGUGAAGCUAGGAAGGAGGAAUGCGAGCCAGCUAGGAUCUGGGAAGCUACAAGCUCUUGGCAAAGUGAUGUCGGAUAGACCAGCGAGGAUUGACACACCGGUGAACACCUUGGAAAGAAUCUGGUGCCCUUUCAAUGGGAUUGAAUGCUAGGACUUGGGCAUGAACAGAUUCCUUUUCUCCUUCGGAGAUGAGGCAGGGAAGAAAAAUGCCCUCAAUGGAGGUCUCCGGAUGUGCAACAAAAGCUUGCUAGUGAUGGAGAAUUUUGACCCAAAGAAGACCCUGAAUGAGUAUGAAUUCAGAUUAAUACCAAUUUGGGUAAGAAUCUACGGCAUUCCCAUGGGAUCAAUGAGUAAGGAAUCAGGUGAAGAAAUAGGGAAGAAUAUUGGCGAAGUAUUAGAUGUUGAUGUGGAUGAUUGCGGAAUGGCGAUGGGAGAAUAUUGGCGAAGUAUUAGAUGUUGA
rnacentral:rRNA from 1 species